UUCACCUUCCCGAGGAGCUGGACCCAGACUGUCCGGGACCUCCGGCACAAAAUACCUGGCGACGUCACUAGAGAGUCUUGUGUCGCAGUCCAAGGUGAAGCAGCAUGUCUACCUGAGCAGGGAGGAGCUCACCUCUCCUCGAUGCAAGUCCACACCGACAUUUUGAACUCGGUGGACACCGUGCCCUGAUGAGAGACUUCACUUCCACAUCACCUGAGAUGAAUCCACAUCUGGAUUAUUACAACUACUGGAGCACCUGACCUGCAGCUCAAGCGCCUCGGGGCCGAUCUGUCGUCCACCGCUAACUCCAAACACAGAGGGCUGUCACACACACACACACACACACACACACACACACACACACACACACACACACACACACACACUCCUCAGCAGGAGGAAGUGGGGAAGCGUAACAGCUGAAGUGCUUUUCCAAAGGUCAAAACAUCUCAAAUGAUCCUUCUCCGUCCCUCCAGGAAUCCACUUCAACAGGAACAGCUGUGGUCAGAUCACGCCGUCUAUAAAGCCUCUUCCACUGGUCCAAAAACCCACAAAGACCCGCUAACAUCAGGCUUUUGUCUUCAGUGUAAAAGGAACAAUCUGCAUUCACACCGGAUCACGACUCUUCAGUAACCGCAGGCUUCAGGUAGAGCGGUGUGUGUGUGAAUCACAGUGUGUGGUGGCGGUGGCGGUUGUGCUGUUGUUUAGGAAAUGGUCGGGGAAGGAAGGUGACAUCAUCUCUACACCUGAGGCGGCGGAGCUGACACCUCCAGCUCUCAGACAGCACGUUUCCUGUCUGGUUCAGUAAGAGAGCAGCUGGUGGAAACCAAACAUGGAGCUAAGAGAGAGGGAACACUGGACUGAGAUUCAUCAGGUGACACAGAUACCACAGCACAUGAAUCUUCAUGUUGAUCUGUAGCUGCUGGAUGUGGAGAUAAACAGCUGUUUUAUGCAACAAUUUUAGAGCUAGAGAAAAAAAAAACACUUGUUUUACAAGCUGUAAAGACUGAAAGUCGUCAGAUUUUCAACUUUCCACUGGUCUGUGAACUAACCAUGUGUGACAAGCUUCAGAUUGCAAACUUUCCUCAAAGUCUAAUCUACAUGCCUCAUUAAAAAAAAUAAAAUCAUUUAAAAAACAUAAAUCAUUUUUUUGGGAAAACAAUCAAAUAUACAAUACAAACAUGUGACACAAUAGUAAUGAUAGUAAAGUAAAUACAAAGAAGAAGAAGGACUUCACAUGACGAUCUUCACAACCAGGAAUACUUUUAUGAAAAUCCCUUUUAUAUUUCCCUUUUAUAUUUCAUAUUCCUGUAUCUUACAGAUACAGGAAUAUGAAUAACUGAG